rnacentral:tRNA from 1 species
GGGGCGUUAGCUAAGUGGUAUAGCGUUGCCUUCGCAAGGCAAAGGUCCAGGGUUCAAUCCCCUGACGCUCCA